GGCGGGUUGGAGUUCUGCCAGGAAGCCCUUCCCACCUGGCUGUGUCACUGGUCUGGGAGGACAUUUUGAGAAUCACUGAAUCCUCUGGAAACACUAUGGAGUGAUGGAGAAAGCACCAUAUGGGGAGUCAGAUGACCUGCUCUCUAUCCCAGCUCAUCAGGGAGUCUCUGAGACAAACACUUACCAGUGCCCUGCCUGUUGCAAGCCUCCUGGCCCAUGCUGGCCAGUUCUUCUCUUGUCAGGGAAGUUAGAGAAAGAAGCCACCUUCCUGCCCUCCUGCGUGUGGUGUGAAGAGAGGUGCCUUACAAGCAAGUGCCUUCAUGGUGAGGAUAAGCUCACAGGCUCAAGGAAGAAACACAAUUGUAAGAACAACAAUGUGGAAAAGGCAGGAUCCAAGU